rnacentral:rRNA from 1 species
AGAGUUUGAUCCUGGCUCAGGAUGAACGCUGGCGGCGUGCCUAGCACAUGCAAGUCGAGCGGAGUUAAGUUUCGGAUUUAACUUAGCGGCGGAUGGGUGAGUAACACGUGGGUAACCUGCCCUGCACAGGGGGAUAACAGUUGGAAACGACUGUUAAUACCGCAUAUGCACACAGCACCGCAUGGUGCCGGGUGGAAAGAUUUAUCGGUGCAGGAUGGGCCCGCGUCGGAUUAACUUGUUGGCAGGGUAAUGGCCUACCAAGGUGAUGAUCCGUAGCCGGCCUGAGAGGGCGACCGGCCACAUUGGGACUGAGACACGGCCCAAACUCCUACGGGAGGCAGCAGUGGGGAAUAUUGCACAAUGGGCGCAAGCCCUGAUGCAGCGACGCCGCGUGAAGGAUGAAGUAUUUCGGUAUGUAAACUUCUAUCAGCGGGGAAGAAGAUGACGGUACCCGACUAAGAAGCCCCGGCUAACUACGUGCCAGCCGCCGC